GACGAACGCUGGCGGCGUGCCUAAUACAUGCAAGUCGAACGCAGUGGGGACGGGUGGGUAACCCGUGGGUAACCUCCCAUCAGAGCGGAUAACACUUGGAAACAGGUGCUAAACCGAUACUGAUGGCUGAACCCUCGGUGCAUUCGCUAGUUGGUGAGGUAACGGCUCACCAAGGCCACGAUGCAUAGCUGACCUGAGAGGAUGAUCGGCCACACUGGGACUGAGACACGGCCCAGACUCCUACGGGAGGCAGCAGUAGGGAAUCUUCGGCAAUGGACGAAAGUCUGACCGAGCAACGCCGCGUGAGUGAAGAAGGUUUUCGGAUCGUAAAGCUCUGUUGUUAGAGAAGCGGUAUCUAACCAGAAAGCCACGGCUAACUACGUGCCAGCAGCCGCGGUAAUAC
rnacentral:rRNA from 1 species